UACGAAGGUCCCGAGCGUUGUUCGGAAUCACUGGGCGUAAAGGGAGCGUAGGCGGCGCGGUAAGUCAGAUGUGAAAUCCCGGGGCUCAACCCCGGAACUGCAUCCGAUACUGCCGUGCUAGAGGAUUGGAGAGGUAGCUGGAAUUCUUGGUGUAGCAGUGAAAUGCGUAGAGAUCAAGAGGAACACUCGUGGCGAAAGCGGCCGCCUGGCCUGUAACUGACGCUGAGGCGCGAAAGCGUGGGGAGCGAACCGG
rnacentral:rRNA from 1 species